CGGGGUGCACCAGGCGCGAAACCUUUACAAUGCUGGCAACAGCGAUAGGGGGACCUCGAGUGCCAGGUUACAAAUCUGGCUGUCGUUGUGUCUAAAAAACCCGAUAUAGCAAGGGCCGGGCAAGACCGGUGCCAGCCGCCGCGGUAACACCGGCGGCUCGAGUGGUAACCGUUAUUAUUGGGUUUAAAGGGUCUGUAGCCGGCCUGGUUAGUCCUCUGGGAAAUCCGGCAGCUCAACUGUCGGGCUUUCAGAGGAUACUGCCAGGCUCGAGACCGGGAGAGGUAAGAGGUACUUCAGGGGUAGGGGUGAAAUCUUGUAAUCCUUGAAGGACCACCAGUGGCGAAGGCGUCUUACCAGAACGGAUCUGACGGCAAGGGACGAAAGCUAGGGGCACGAACCGGAUUAGAUACCCGGGUAGUCCUAGCCGUAAACGAUACUCGCUAGGUGUCGGCCACGGUGCGACCGUGGUCGGUCCCGUAGGGAAACCGUGAAGCGAGCCUCCCGGGAAGUACGUCCGCAAGGGUGAAACU
rnacentral:rRNA from 1 species